rnacentral:rRNA from 1 species
UACGUAGGGUGCGAGCGUUGUCCGGAACUACUGGGCGUAAAGAGCUCGUAGGUGGUUUGUCGCGUUGUUCGUGAAAACCGGGGGCUUAACCCUCGGCGUGCGGGCGAUACGGGCAGACUGGAGUACUGCAGGGGAGACUGGAAUUCCUGGUGUAGCGGUGGAAUGCGCAGAUAUCAGGAGGAACACCGGUGGCGAAGGCGAUCACCUGGCCCGAUACCGACGCUGAGACACGAAAGCCAGGGGAGCGAACGGG